CUCGUAGGCGGUUUGUCGCGUCGGGAGUGAGAACCUUGGGCUUAACUCAGGGCUUGCUUUCGAUACGGGCAGACUAGAGGUAUGCAGGGGAGAACGGAAUUCCUGGUGUAGCGGUGAAAUGCGCAGAUAUCAGGAGGAACACCGGUGGCGAAGGCGGUUCUCUGGGCAUGAUCUGACGCUGAGGAGCGAAAGUGUGGGGAGCGAACA
rnacentral:rRNA from 1 species